rnacentral:lncRNA from 1 species
UGAGAAGCUCCGUCGAAGAUCUCUCAUCUUAAGAGGUAACGCCUACAACCCUAAGAAGAAUUUAGAUUACAUAUUGGGUUGAGUUUAGAUGCUUUAUUUUCUUUGCAUGCCUAGGAGUGAAGUUACUUCUUAUUACCUACAUUUUAUUUGAUGAACUUGAGAGGGGUAUAUUAGAAGUUAUUUUGCAUGCAAGUAGUGCUCAAAUUUCUGCAUUUAUCUUUCUUAUUUCAAAAAGAGGUGAGAGCACUUUUCUUGUGAAGGGAACGGAUUGAUUCCUCUAUCUUGCUCAUCAUAGGGAUGGUGCCAACGGGGAGGCUAAUGGUAGUACCCGGCACUAUUUGACCCAACUAUUCGGUGUAGGGUAUAUUAGGGACGGCACAAGAGGGAGGCUAGUGGUAGUACCUCGUGCCCUUUCCCAACUCCACCGGAUAGGGAGCAAAUAGAAUAUCAAGAUGUCUCUCUCGGGGGUGAGAGAUUUCUAAUUUGUAAACCCUUGUUGUAAUUGGAGAAGAUUGAGUGGUGUAUCUUUCAAAACCUAUAUAAGAAGGUGGGUCGGUUCAUCCCUUGGGUGACGGCCAAAGGAGGUUAGGAGUGGUGAUUUGGAGAACAAGAAAUUUUCAUGAAGUCCGGAGGGUUAAAG